rnacentral:tRNA from 3 species
AGCCGCUAUGGUGAAAUUGGU